rnacentral:lncRNA from 1 species
GAAUUUAUCGCCGGAAUAUAUGAGGAAGAUGGCGGAUGGUUCAAAAUUGACGGUGGUUGAGGGAUGAUGCGGCGACGUAGUGGUAGUGGUGGCGAUUCACGGCGGUUAUUCUAGGUUGUUUCGGCGGAAGCGAAAAUGAGGUGUUAGUGUGGUGUCGAGGAAGAUGGCGGUUGUGUAACAAGAGUGAACCGUUUUUUCUUCCCUGUGAAUGGAGAGAGAAGGGAUGUUCAAAGCAAAUUGAAGGUUGGAAUGGGUUUAUGGUGAUGAGAAAAUGUGAGGUAGCGUGAGGGAGAGAUCAAGAGUGAUUGUGAUAGGUGGCUGCUGAUUUGUGUGAAAAGAAGAGAAAGGUGAAUUUGUUGUUGUGUGUUGGAAAGAUGAAAAGAUUUUGGGUUGCCUUUUGAAAGCAGAAAAUAAGUGUUUUCCUUCUUUUCGUUUACUGAUGAUAGAGGUUGUGAGUGAUGGGAAGGGAGCAUGUGAGGUAGCGUGAGUGCUGAAAGGGUGGAAAAGUUUGUUCAGAGUGGAGAGAAAGAAUCCAAUGCUGAUAAAAUACCCUUAUUUGCAAACAUUUUUAUUAUCUAUUAUUAAAAAUUAGUUAUUAAAAAAAAUUCUUAAAGAGUAAUUUAACUUAGAUAAUAGUAAUAAUAAUAAUAAUGAAAACUCUAAUUGUUUAAUAUGAUAUUUUGAAUAAAGAAAUAAAAUAAUCUGAUUAAAAAUAGAAAUCGAANUCAAAAUUCGGUAUAUUACACUGAUUUUGAUCGUAUCAAUACAGUUCUGGAAAAACCAAGUGUAACUGAAUCGAUGUUUACAUCAUGGUUCGAAGCAAAUUGCAAGUAUCCUGAAGCACAAAAUUUAACUUAUAACAAAUUUGUUUCAAAAUUUGUUUAUGUUAAGAAAAAAAGAGAAUGGAAACCCCGUCAAAAAGGUUACACAAUUGGUAGGCUUAUAUGGGUUCCUCCAACAACUGGAGAAUUCUACUAUCUUAGAUUGAUGCUCACACAUGUCAAAGGCCCCCGCAGUUAUAAUAAUAUAAAAACAGUGAAUAACGUAAAAUAUGAUACUUUCCGGGAUGCCUGUUUUGCUAUGGGUUUUAUCGGCGAUGAUAGAGAAUUCAUUGCAGCUAUUAAAGAGGCAAAUCAUUAGGGUUCAGGUCAAUAUUUAAGAUUACUAUUUGUUCACAUGUUAUUAUCAAGCAGCAUUAACAGGCCAAGACAUGUAUGGAGUAAAACAUGUCAUCUCUUAGCUGAUGGAAUACUAUAUGCUCAACAGCGAAUUGCAAACAAUAGAGGUAUUAUUUUUCCUAUAUUGUGAAUUUUUAUUAUAUUUAUUUGUUUGAUUCUUAAAAGUAAAUUUGUUUUAUAGUUUACACUUAUAAUUACUAUUGUAUAAAGGUUUGAGGUUGUCGGAUGAAGAGAUAAUGAAUUUAACAUUAAUUGAGAUUGAACGAAAUCUUCAAAGGAAGAGCCGAAGUCUAAAGGAAUUUGCUGGAAUGCCUUAUCCAAGUGGAUAUGUGGUUGAGCAGUUGGGAAAUAAGCUCAUAUACGAAGAGCGGAGUUACAAUCCAGCCGAACAAUUGCAAGAAUACAAUAAUUUGUUCUUAAAUCUUACAGGUAAAUAUGUUAAAUGUUUGUAAGUUUUGUCAUAAUUUUAUAAAGUUAACUUUUAAAGUAUGAUUUUAUCUUACAAUUUUUUUNGAGAUUCUCUGUAUCGGGUCGAAGCAGCAUCUUAUAUGAUAGAAUUAAAAUGUUCCAGCAAGGAAAAAAUACCUUAAUUGAAUCUAAGACUCUUCGAGGAUAUUAGAGCAGUAUCUCUAAAAGAAAUCUGAAAUGAGACUCUUCAUAUUGAUGAAGCAGCAUCUCGAACAGUAAAGAGUGAGAUUCUCUGUAUCGGGUCGAAACAGCAUCUUAUAUGAUAGAAUUAAGAUAUUCCGAACAAGGGAAUGAUACCUUAAUUGAAUCUAAGACUCUUCGAGGAUAUUAGAGCAGUAUCUCUAGAAAACAAAUGAGAUUCUUCAAAUUGAUGAAGCAGUAUCUCAAACAGAGAGAUGAGAUUCUUCAGAUAAAUGAAGCAGUAUCUCGAAUAUUCGUCUGUUGGGGGAACUUUAAGAAAAGACUCCUUUUGGGGGAGACAUAUUGGAAAUGCUUUGCAGGGGAAAAGCUCAUAAGAGACUUUUUGGGUAACCUCUGCUUGGGGAGCGAUGAUUGUAAAGAAAAUUGUUGGGAAUAUCAUAUUUAAUCGUAAAGUUGAAAAAUAAUUUGCUGAGAAAUAACUCUACGAGCACAUGCGGGGAAAUAACUUUAUUUGGAAAUGAGAAAUGUCCAGGAUAUACAUGAAUGACCUUGGAUCCUGAUAUUUUGGUGUGAUUUUUGUAUGAUGUUCCACUUUGGGUGGAAAUACUAUGCAUGGGAGGAUGCAUGAGACGUAUGCAGUAUGCAAUUGCUGGGGGUAUUUGGAUGUGCAUGUAGGAAUGCGAAUGAUUUUUAUUUUGUUGAAAUUCCCCUUUUGUGGGAGUGUUAUGCAUGAGUAUGCUGAUGAUUGAUAUGACUGUGUUUUUCAAUUUUCUGUUUGGUAGGAAAACCAUGUAUGGAUGAUUCGUGUGAUGCAUGUGGGAAUGCAACUGGAUAAUUGGAUGUUUUUGUAGGGUUUAAUUCUUGAUUGCCAAUGAGGUUGGACUUUAAAUGAGAACUGCCAGAUGAGAACUGGUGAAGGAGAUUGAACUGCCAAAUGAGGAUAACACUUGAAGGAUAUGUUACCAGACGCGAACUGGUGAAAAUAAUUGAAAUGUCAGACGGGACUGAAUUUGUUUUUGUUUAUCAGACAGGAACUGAUUUUUAAAGUAGGCUACCAGACGAGAACUGGUGAAAAUAAUUGACUACCAGACGAGAACUGGUAUCGAAAUAGGUGACCUGCCAAACGAGAACUGGUAUUAAGAGAUAAUUUACCAUACGAGAACUGGUAUUUAGAUAUAAUUUACCAGACGAGAACUGGUAUUUGGCAAAUGAUUUGUUGUACAAGAACUGAUUUUUGAUAUAGUUUGCCAGACAGGAACUGGACUUUGGAAAUAAAUCACCAGACGAGAACUGGACUUUGGAAAUAAAUUUCCAGAAGGGAACUAGGCUUUGAAAUGAAUUUCCAGACGCGAACUGGGUUUUAAAACAAAUUGUCAGACGGGAACUGGGCUUCAAAAUAAAUUUCCAGACGGGCACUGGACUUUGAAAUAAAUUUCCAGGCGAGAACUGGACUUUGUAAUAAAUUUCCAGACGGGAACUGGGUUUUGAAAUAAAUUGCCAGACGGGAACUGGGCUUUUGAAAAAGGUUGCCAGACGGGAACUGGGCUUUGAAAUGAAUUACCAGACGGGAACUGGACUUUGAUUAAAUUUCCAGGCGAGAAUUGGACUUUGGCGUCGGAUUUUGGGUUUCAAGGCUUUUUGAUGUCAGGUUCAUGUUAUGGGUUAUGCCUGAUAAAUGAUAUGAUAUGCAUGGCUUUAUGCUAGAGCAAAGCGACAUGACUAAUGCAUGAUGAUGACUUAUGUAAUGAUUGAAAGGUUUCCAAAAUGCCCCUGCAUGGGUAUUGGAAGAGAAGGUUUUUUUUUUUUUUUGCAGAAAGGCUUUUGUAUGUCAAAAGGUUAUUUUAUGGGGUGAUAGCGUGAUUCCCCGACACUCAUCUUGAACUCUGCAGUUGAUGACGUGUGAAAAAGCUUUCUCUUGAACAGCUUGAAGUCAGGGAGAUGACUUGCUCCUGUAUGGCUCAUCUUGCCCCAAUGUGAUGGGUCUAUGCAAAAUGUUUACCUCGAAAGGAUUUUGAAAGCAAUUGUACCAUAAUUUGAAGAUGGAUUGCCCCAGAAUUUUGAUCCAUGAAAGGAUUUAUCCUUGGUUAACCGACUCUUGGAGUGGUUGACUUUUUUGUGCUCUUGAGGUAGCUUGCCCCGGUAUGAGCGUUUGAAGCGACUUAACUCACCCUAACUGAACAUUGAAGGGGUCUGCCCCUGGCCAACAGAACCUCUAGGUGAUUUGCAGAGUCCUGAGAUGAUUUGCUCUGGAUCAACUGAUUCUUGAAAUGGUUUGCACAUUUAUUAACAGAUGUUGGAGACUGUUUAAGACUGACCAAUUCUUGGAGUAAUCUUCCUAUGACCAACUGAUGUUUAGGUGGCAUGUCUCAGAUUCAUAGGUUUUGAGGUAGUCUUGAUUCGGGUCAGCACCAACGAAUGUCCAAGUUCCUCUGAUCGUUCCUUAUUAUUGGAAUUUCCCUGACGUCAAGUACUGUCUUGCAGUUAAGAUUGUUUGUUCAGAAAUGGUAAUUUUAAUGCGAUACUUAUGCAGGUUUUGAAAAGAAUUAUUUAUUGGAAUUAUGUGAUAGUGUGUGACGAGUGGACCAUGAGUCCAAAUGUAAUGUUGAUUCAUCAAUUUAAAGUGUGAAAGACACAACGAGAAUAAUGACAUCGAUGUUGAAGAUUAGCAAAUCUUUAGGAGUCAGUUUACGCAACUUUGCUGUAAUAUGCUUUCGGAAAUAACCCUACCUCAAUUAGGUCUUUUGAGGGUUGUAACGUGGCUUGGUUCAUGGUUAUUGAAACAAAAGGAUAUAAGGCUCGAAGUUUAUUUUAACCCACCCCUUCUUCAUGAUGAUCUCCAAUCCUACGUUCAAUUAAUUCGACACACACUUACUCUUACAAGAUUUCAGCAGUGUAAGAUCUUUUUGAAAUGACAGUCACUUAUUUCGCUCUUUAUGGAUGUUGGUGAUCUUUUGAUUUUGAUAUGGUGGUCACUGAAUCUCGUUUUGUUUUGUUGAGGGUUUUUCGUGACCUCCUUUGAUUUUUUUUCUUGAUCCCUAACUUUUGCCUGAACUGCUUUUGAAGCUUUUAGUCCAUCGGGAUUGCCCCGGUUUUUGCCUAAGUCUCCUUUUGGGGUAUCGACUUAGCGGGCUUUUUAUUGAUUCCCUUUUUUAGAAUGUGACUGCCAAGUCAUUUGUCAUUGAAGAACAACCGUCAUAACUUUUUGAUUUUUCAAGGUUCCUUCGACACUUUAGGAUGUGUGCGAAGAAUGGCAUGUAGUUGAUCCACAUACUGGAUAUUUCAUCUUGUGAUUUGAAUGCAUAGUCAGAUUAACUGAACACUACCCUGCCCCAGGUUUAAUAUAAGGUUUUUUAGAUCCGAAAGA